rnacentral:rRNA from 1 species
GACGAACGCUGGCGGCGUGCUUAACACAUGCAAGUCGAACGGAAAGGCCCUGCUUUUGUGGGGUGCUCGAGUGGCGAACGGGUGAGUAACACGUGAGUAACCUGCCCUUGACUUUGGGAUAACUUCAGGAAACUGGGGCUAAUACCGGAUAGGAGCUCCUGCUGCAUGGUGGGGGGUGGAAAGUUUCGGCGGUUGGGGAUGGACUCGCGGCUUAUCAGCUUGGUGGUUGGGUAGUUGCUUACCAAGGCUUUGACGGGUAGGCGGCCUGUGAGGGUGGACGGCCACAUUGGGACUGAGAUACGGCCCAGACUCCUACGGGAGGCAGCAGUGGGGAAUAUUGCACAAUGGGCGGAAGCCUGAUGCAGCAGCGCCGCGUGCGGGAUGACGGCCUUCGGGUUGUAAACCGCUUUCGCCUGUGACGAAGCGUGAGUGACGGUAAUGGGUAAAGAAGCACCGGCUAACUACGUG